AUGGCGCCUGCAUCCCUCGCUUUUCCGAUCGCACCGCACUCUGUGCCAAGAAGUGGAAGUAUUUCACCCCUCACACGUGCUCCCUGCCUUACAUGUGAUGUAGAAGAAAAUAAAAAUGAGGAAGAUACUAAAAGACACAUAGAAGUAACACAUAUGAGAAAUUCAUACACCCAUCAUGUCUUGGAUGAGAAACAGUAUGAAAACUUCAAUGAAAAAUUCAGCACUGCCAAACCAUUUGGAAAUGCCACCAGAAAUGAAAAACAAUUAGGGGGUAGAUGCACUAGAGGAAGGAAAGAGGAGCUCCAGUUUGAUCCCAUACUUUGUGUCAUAAUUUCAUAUCGAUAA
rnacentral:rRNA from 1 species